GCCUACGGGGGGCAGCAGUGGGGAAUAUUGCACAAUGGGGGAAACCCUGAUGCAGCGACGCCGCGUGGGUGAAGAAGUAUCUCGGUACGUAAAGCUCUAUCAGCAGGGAAGAAAAAAAGUCUUUGGCUUUGGACGGUACCUGACUAAGAAGCCCCGGCUAACUACGUGCCAGCAGCCGCGGUAAUACGUAGGGGGCAAGCGUUAUCCGGAUUUACUGGGUGUAAAGGGCGCGUAGGCGGGAUAGCAAGUCAGUCGUGAAAUGCCGAGGCUUAACCUCGGAGCUGCGAUUGAAACUGUUAUUCUUG
rnacentral:rRNA from 1 species